UACGGAGGUUGCGAGCGUUAAUCGGAAUUACUGGGCGUAAAGCGCGCGUAGGCGGCGUGAUAAGCCGGGUGUGAAAGCCCCGGGCUCAACCUGGGAACGGCCUCCGGAACUGGCAGGCCAGAGUGCAGGAGAGGAAGGUAGAAUUCCCGGUGUAGCGGUGAAAUGCGUAGAGAUCGGGAGGAAUACCAGUGGCGAAGGCGGCCUUCUGGACUGCCGCUGACGCUGAGGUGCGAAAGCGUGGGUAGCAAACAGG
rnacentral:misc_RNA from 1 species